UACGAUAGGGGUUAGUAUUACCCCUAUCGUAGCAAUGUAGCAGUAGCA
rnacentral:sRNA from 12 species